ACCACCAUAAGGGUUAGCUUAGGAAAUUGCGUGGUUAGUAACCCAAACCCCAAAUUCUCUUUCUCUCUCCCUCUGUAUCGUGAUGUCUAUAUUUAGUUGCAAGGCUUAGGGGUGCAAUUACAACCCCACAUCUUUACUUCUUUCUCUCUCAAAAUACUACAUUACUAACCCCACAAAUAUUAGCUUGUGUUUUUGCCCAAUUCAUAAGGGUUUUUGUGGACCUCUCUUUUACCCUUAUUUGAUUAUGACUCUUUUCUUCUUUUUCCUCCCUUUACUUUCUCUCUCUCCUCUUUCUCCUUAAAUACCUUUCUCUUCUCUUCUCUCUUUCCCUUCAAUCCUUUCCUUACCCUAAUUUCUAAUUUCUUCUUCCUUUCUUUCUUCUUCUUCUUCUUCUUCUCCACUUCACUUCACUUAUUCAUGACUGCCACUGAUAAGUAGUUUCUGUGUCUUUUUGUGUUUAUUUAUUAUACUUUUCGUUUCAUGCAUAUAUACAUACAUAUGUAUAUAUUUUAUAUGUGCCUGGCUCCCUGUAUGCCAUUUGCAGAGCCCACCGGAGUAUCGAUGGCCUCCGUGGAUGGCGUAUGAGGAGCCAUGCAUAUUUCUAUAUAUAUAUUUAUAUUAUCUAUAGCGUAUGAAUAUUUAUUUAUCUGCAGAUACAUUUUCUUUAAUUUUUUUCUUAGUAAUAAUGGACAAGGGGCAGCAUUGUAAUUUCAGAAAUGAUUCAGUUCAGGUGGUGUCUCUCUAGCUAGAACUAAAGGAGAAGUUGCAUAGCUUUAGCUUGUCUCAUGGACAUUUCCUAUGACCUGUGGUUAUGGUGAAAGAGAAAGAGAGAGAGACCUAGCCACUGCCCUAGCUAGCUAGAGAAGGAACGAAGAAAAAAAAAAAAGAAAAAGAGAGAAUAUUAACCCAAUAAAGUUCACAAUUUGCAGAGUAAGUUCAUAUAAUAUACUUUGUUAGCAACUGUUCAAGAUGUUCUAACUAGCUAGUGUGAUAGAUAAUCAAGGGAUCAAAUUAUUUUUAUUUUUUUGUCUUAUAAAUUAUAUUUAUUUAUACCCAUUUGAUCAAUCUCUAAUUAGUUAUAAUUUAUUUAAUAUGUAUAGACAUAGGGCUAAAUAUUCUUUAUUUUCCCCAUUUUUCUGUGGUUAUUAUACAUGUCAAGUUCUUUUUUCUUUUUUCCUUUUGGGAUGUAAUUAAAAGGGAAAACGGAUUUAUUUAUAUAAUUAGCAAAACAACUCACUAAAUCAAAAUUUGAAGAGUACAUAGAAUUAGCUAUAAAUAACAUUAUAGGUGAUGAUAAAGUUGAGGUGUAAAGAACUUUAUUUCUUUCUUUCUCAUUUUGUGCAUAGGCAUAGAAUAAUCUUAAGUAAUAUGAAAUCCCCAUUUUUAAUCCAGUCUCCCCAAAACAGAUCAAUACAUCAAUUUCUGUUUUUAUAAUAUUGCAUUUUUGGGUGCAAAAGUACUUUCAUUAUAGCAACUUUUUGUUGCUAACAAUUUUGUCAAUGUUUUUUAGCUUUAGAUUCAUAUUUUGAAGACACAAAAAUGACAAGACCCAUAUGGCCCUUUUGCUUUGCUUUAAAAAAUCCAAAAGCAAAGGGAAUUGAAGAGGAAUAGUGGAAUAAAGAAGAGGAUGUAGAUGUAUUCAUCAUUUUAUGAUCUUAUCAAGAAACUGCAGCUAACCAUUUGUUUUCCAUAGCUAGUGGAGUAGUGAGCUCAGCUCUGCCUGUGCAUGUCCAUAAUUUAAUGAACAAACCCCACUGUGUUUCUCUUUU